GUGGCGCCCGCCUCGGCCGCUCAGUGGCCGCGCCGAGCACAAAGCGCUGUCUCCGAGCAGAAAGCCUCUUCUGGGUGGAAGCAGACCUGCUGAGGAGGAGAAUCUGCGCGUGACGUCAGUCGCUGAGGACUGACGCAGGCUGGAGAAGGAGACUCAAGGCGGCUGCUCCGCUCUGGCUUCAUGAGUCUAUUUUCUCCAGCGCCCUCGUAGUGAAUUACUAGAACGCAAAACACACACACACACACACACACACACACACACACACAGACACACACAUGCAGCUUUCAAAAUAUACGUUUCCAAAGGCGGUGUGUUGCAAACACCACGCGAUCUGGCAAGGCGCGGGUGGGAAACGUGGGAAGGGUACGGAUGAUUCCGCCCUCCUUUGGGAAUCUCCAUCGUGGUUAACAGGAGGCUCCGGAGCUUUCCUGGGAGGCUCCUGGGGGAAGGAGCUAAGCAACCCCCUUUUCCCACCACGUAGGGAGUCUGGUCAAUGGAGACAGCGCCUCUAAGAAUACAACCGCUCCAACGCCUUCUGCUCUGCUGGGGGAGGCUUCGAGCUUGCAACAGGCAGAGACAGGCGGGAGUUAACGGGAGGGAGGGAGGGAGGGAGGGAGAAUAUCAGAAAUAUUUGGAUAUUUUUCUGCUUUGAAAAAGACUCUCUGCAGUAAUGCAAGUGAGUCUGGAGGUGCAGGAAAAAGUGGGGAAGGGGCAAUUCAUGCACAUUGAAUGUUUUGGACGCAACGUUCCAGCGAAAUGCCUUUGUGUGUGGAGGUUUUUUCAGUACUUGCUAAAAAUAGCACCAGGGUUUGAUCGUGUUCCAGAAAUAGACCGAGGGCUGUACUGGGAUAAAAAGCCAGCGCGGGUGGAAGAAAACCUGGACAUCACCGCAUUCCUCACCCCCCCAACUAUGUCUGGAAAUUAAUUGUUGGAUUUUUCCUUUCCUCUCUCCUCUCUUCGUCCACUUUCUGUUCCCUCCCCCUAUGUUUCUCUUUCUCUUAAGGAGUUCCCGUCUAGGUGGUCAACUUGUCCUGUACCCAGAGGUCGCGGAAGGGGUGGCCAUCCCCAGAGGUCACAGAAGCUGAAGAGCCUGGACCAAUGAGCUCAGCAGUCCCAGGAACAUGGUUUCUUGAAAUGGAAAGAGUUGGGGGAGAAUUUGGCAGCAUUGAUGGUUCCAGCAAAUGAGGACUCCAUUUGCAGCUGGUGUUAAUCCAGUCACAAUGGCAUUGGGUUCCUGAAUGAGGACUAGUGUGGAAGUCUACAUCCCUGGUGCGUCUGUUUCAUGGAGAAAAAGAAGCCAAGAGCACAGAGGAUGAGCAGCUAUAAGAUUUUUAUGGCUCUGUACCCACUUGUGUAUUGUUCGGUAUAAAAGUAUUCACUUACCAUGUCUGUAAGGAUUUUAGAAAGAGGCUUGUACUUUGUCAUUUUAAAUAUAAAAACAUUGCAGUUAUUUCUUACCAUAUUAUUGCAUGGGCUAUUGUAAGGUUUGGGCAUAUUGAAAGCUUUCCAUAUUGUACCCCUCAACCUUACCUAAGGACAGAGACCUCCUCCGUUGCUGGAUAAAAGGUUUUGGGAAAGUGGGUAGACCUGAAAAAUAAAUGCCCAUCUUCAUUUAAGUCUUUCUCUUUUCUCUUUGGCUUUUGGUUCUACCUCCUUCCACUGCUCUUACUGCAGCCUCUGUUGUAUUGGGUGAUGGAAUCGAAUUAGAAGAAAUUGAAGCACCAUAUGGUUGUGUGCUUAUCUUCAGUCCCCCUCUCUCCCCAGCAUGUGACAAAGCAAUAACAGGGGCAGAACAAGCUUCUGGUGUGGAGAGAGACAUAGUGGGUCAUACUGCUUGUGCCCCCAGAAUUGAUUGAGUUUGUGAGGAACCAACUCUUCUACUUUUUAACAGAAACCUCUGGUUUGCACUUGCAAAAUUAUUUGUAUCAUAAAGGUCAAAUCCUUUGGAAAAAAUGGCUUAGAUAAUCAAAGCUCACCAAGAGUGACAUAAAGGAAUUUUUUUUCGUGUCUGUGCAUAUGAAUUUUAUAGAGUCUAAAGCAUCAAGAAUUGAUGUUCUGAGCAAGAAAUUGUCACUGACAUGAGGGGUUGUAUCUGUGAUUCACAUUCUUUCUUGUGGUUCUAUUUGUCCAUCCACAUGAGAACUCCAAAUGUGAUGGUACCUGGUGAACAAGAAAUUCCUAGGGUCUGGUGAAUGAAAGUCCACAAAUCAUUUACUGCAGAGGGACUAGUGCUUAAGUUUGGAGGAUGGACAGAUAAUCUUAGCCAAAUCUUGAUUAUAUAUCAAAACACAGAAACAAAACCAGAAAACGGCCGUAAGUGUUGGGAAGAAGAAUGUUAGGAAAAUCUUGUUGGUCUGUUGGGGGGAAAAAUAAGCGGGGUAUGGUGAACUCACACAGAAGGAAGAAUUAGAAAACAGGUGUACAAACAGGAACUUAGGGAGAAAAAAAAGCAUAAUACUCAUUUUCCCCUUACAGGGUUUGAUAUAGUUAAUCCUCACAGGAAACUGAGGGAACAUGUAACGUAUCUACAAGUUUCCCAAACAGCUAAUAUUUCCUUGGAAGCAGGAAAAUGUUGUUUCAUCUUCUGAAGAAACUUCAACAUUCUUUUUUUCCCCCUUUGGAGAUUUCUUAAAAUUGAAUUUUCUCCUUUAGUCAAAAUGUCCUCAACCUGGUGAAUCUUCCAUGUACGCAUACUUGAAAAUUUGAAAGAGAGAAAAGGAUUGAAUAUCUGAAUUUAAAGUCAAGUUAAAGCUCAAUGUUUGGAACUGUGUUUAAUUGAAGAUGAGACAGAAGACAUCAGAACUGUUUGAAAUUUUCAAGUUUUACUAUACAAUAAAAUGAAGGAUUCAGCUCUUGUCUCAAAGGAUUAACCAAGAUGGUAUUCUUAAAAAUUCCUGGCUUCUAUGAAAUUCUCCAAUUACAGAAUUUUCUUUCAUUACUCUUGAAUUCAUCAUGAAAACCUGCUUUGAAACACAAUUUGCUGAAAUACUGAAAAUGAAUUUCAAAUUAAAUAGGAAUAGUUGUAUACUAAUAUGAUGCAAUGACAUUUCACAUUUUUCCAUGUUAAAAACUGUUCUGAACUCUAAAUCUUUUA